GUUUCACAACCUCUUUUGCUCUCCACAUUUGUUGCCUCUCACUACCAUCCAUACAGAAAGUUGGACCAAAGAACCAAAAUGAACUUUCGGUGCUCUUUCCUCUUCAUUCUUCUACUUUUCCCACUCCUCGCUUUAUCUUCUUCUUCACACACCUCCCAACUCUUCGAAACGUGGUGCAAAGAACAUGGCAGAACUUACUCUUCAGAAGCUGAAAGGCUGUACAGGCUCGGAGUGUUUGAGGACAACUACAACUUCGUUAAGCGGCACAACGAUAUGGGCAAUUCUUCUUAUACCCUCUCUUUCAAUGCCUUUGCUGAUCUCACCCACCACGAGUUCAGGGCCUCUCGCCUGGGAUUCUCGGCUGCUGGGAUGAAUUUCCAUCGGGGCCGGCCGCUUCUGACGCACGGUGUUGUUCGUGAGAUUCCUUCGGAGAUGGAUUGGAGGAAGAAAGGAGCAGUGACCCAUGUCAAGGAUCAACGGAGUUGUGGUGCUUGUUGGUCAUUCUCAGCUACUGGAGCUAUUGAAGGUAUUAAUAAGAUUGUCACAGGGUCUCUUUUAAGCCUCUCUGAACAGGAGUUAGUUGAUUGUGACAAUUCUUACAAUAGUGGCUGCGAAGGCGGGCUCAUGGACUAUGCAUAUCAAUUUGUGAUAGAUAACCAUGGCAUUGACACUGAGGAAGAUUACCCUUAUCAAGGUCGGGACAGGUCCUGCAAUAAGGAAAGGUUAAAAAGGCAUGUUGUGACGAUUGAUGGUUACACUGAUGUGCCACCAAAUAAUGAGAAACAGCUACUACAAGCUGUGGCAGCACAACCUGUGAGUGUAGGUAUAUGUGGCAGUGAGAGAGCAUUUCAGUUGUAUUCAAAGGGGAUUUUCACCGGCCCGUGUUCAACUUCUUUGGAUCAUGCUGUAUUGAUUGUAGGGUAUGGUUCAGAAAAUGGAGUUGACUAUUGGAUUACCAAGAACUCAUGGGGAACAGGUUGGGGAAUGGAUGGUUAUGUUCACAUGCUGCGUAACAGCGGCAAUUCACAAGGGCUUUGUGGUAUCAACAUGCUAGCUUCAUAUCCAACCAAGACUAGCCCAAAUCCUCCUCCCCCACCUCCCCCAGGUCCAACUAGAUGUGAUCUUUUUAGUUUCUGUGGAGAAGGAGAAACCUGUUGUUGUGCAAGGCGCCUUUUCGGAAUAUGCAUUUCAUGGAAAUGUUGUGAGUCGAAUUCUGCCGUGUGUUGUAAGGACCACCUUCAUUGUUGUCCAAAUGAUUAUCCCGUUUGUGAUACAAAAAGCAACCAAUGCCUAAAGCAAAAUGGGAACAUUACAAGAAUGGAAGCACUUGAGAACAGACGCUCUUCUGGGAAGUCAGGCAGUUGGAGCUCCUUUAUUGAGGCUUGGAUUCUGUAAAGACUUUCAGUCUUUACCAUUUCGAAGCAGCAAAUUGUAAUGGCCCUGUUGCCAUGUCUGUCCUUUUGUAUCAUAGGAUUAAAUAGUUCAGCCAACUGAAGAUGGAGGCGUGGAGCAUGCUUUGCCACCCUACAAUGAGGGAUCGUCGGGUUUCUCAAGCCACGAGAUGGCCCAGAUUUGAAACUUUCCUGCUGUCUUCGAGUCCUGGAGUGAUGCUAAUUUUUUAGUUUUGCUUCCAUUUAUUAUGUUAAUUUUUAUUGUUUCAUAAUAUGUUUUGCAUUCUGAGAUGCAUCUGGUGAUGCCCAAGCAUUUGGCGAAUUUUAACAAAAAUCAAGAAUAUGCGAGUAUGUUA